GCCACAUCAUGGAGCAAUGGGUCAGCAUGUCUGGCUGUUAACCAGAAGGUUGGUGGUUGGAGCCCACCCAAGAAUGGCUGUAGGCA